rnacentral:rRNA from 1 species
UACGUAGGAUGCAAGCGUUGUCCGGAAUUAUUGGGCGUAAAGAGCGCGCAGGCGGCCUGUCAAGUCAGAUGUGAAAUAACCAGGCUUAACCUGGUGGGGUCAUUUGAAACUGGCAGGCUAGAGUACAGCAGAGGAUAGCGGAAUUCCCGGUGUAGUGGUGAAAUGCGUAGAUAUCGGGAGGAACACCAGUGGCGAAGGCGGCUAUCUGGGCUGCAACUGACGCUGGAGGCGCGAAAGCCUGGGGGGAGCAAACGGG